rnacentral:lncRNA from 1 species
GGUAUUGUGUCGUUAUGGGGUAUUGUGUCGUCAUGGGGUAUUGUGUAUUAGGGGUAUUGUGUCGUCAUGGGGUAUUGUGUCAUUAUGGGGUAUUGUUGUCGUUCAUGGGGUAUUGUGUAUGGUUUAUUGGGGUCAUUGUGUGUAUGGGGAUUGUGUCAUUAUGGGGUUUGUGUCAUUAUGGGGUAUUGUGCGUUAGGUAUUGUGUUUAUUGGGGUAUUUGUGUCGAUGGGGUAUUGUUUCUUAUGGGGUAUUGUGUCGUCAUGGGGUAUUGUGUCAUACGGAGUAUUGUGUCAUUAUGGGGUAUUGUGUCGUUACUGGGUAUUGUGUCGUUAUGGGGUAUUGUGUCGUUACCGGGUAUUGUGUCGUUACCGGGUAUUGUGUCGUCACGGGGUUGGUUGUGGCUAUUGUGUCGUUACGGGUUGGUAUUGUGUCGUUACCGGGUAUUGUGUCGUUACGGGGUAUUGUGUCAUUAUGGGGUAUUGUGUCGUUAUGGGGUAUUGUGUCAUUACGGGUAUUGUGUCGUUAGGGGUGGUUUAUUGUGUCAUCACGGGGUAUGGUGUCAUGGGGUAUUGUGUCGUUAUGGGGUAUUGUGUCAUUAUGGGGUAUUGUGUCAUUAGGGGUAUUGUGUCGUCAUGGGGUAUUGUGUUCUUAUGGGUUAUUGUGUCGUUAGGUGGUUGUGUCAUUACGGGUUAUUGUGUCGUUAUGGGGUAUUGUGUCGUCACGGGGUAUUGUGUGUCAGGGGUAUUGUAUCAUUAUGGGGUAUUUGUGUAUUAUGGGUAUUGUGUCAUUAUGGGGUAUUGUGUCGUUAUGGGGUAUUGUGUGUCAUUUAUGGGGUAUUGUGUCAUUAUGGGGUAUUGAUGUCAUUUAUGGGGUUUAUUAUGUCGUUCUUAUGGGGUAUUGUGUCAUUACUGGGGUAUUGUGUCAUUAUGGGGGUAGUGUAUGUCUUAUGGGGUUAUAUGGUGGUAUUGUGUCGUAUGGGUUGUUGUUGUCGUUAUGGGGUAUUGUGUCGUUAUGGGGUAUUUGUGUAGUAUGGUUGUGUCACUUUGGGUAUUGUGUCAUUAUGGGGUAUUAUGUCGUUAUGGGGUAUUGUGUCGUUAUGGGUAUUGUGUCUAUGGGGGGUGUUGGUAUUGUGUCAUUAUGGGUUUAAUGGUUAUGUAUGUUAUGGGGUAUUGUGUCGUUAUGGGUAUUGUGUCAUUAUGGGGUGGUAUUGUGUCAUUAUGGGGUUAUUGUGUUCCAUUAUGGGGUAUUGUGUCAUAGGGGUAUUUGUAUACUUAUGGUGUAUU